ensembl:lncRNA
GUUGGACCCUGGAAUGUGGGUGGAGAUGAGCCACUGAGGUUAGGGGAGGAAGGGGGCUCCCCAGAAGCGUGACAACGGCUGGAGGUAUGAGAAACCCAUCCUGUCGGGGAGUUGGAAGGAAGCCAGCAGCCUUGAACCACAGGUGCAAAUGUAUUGGGGGAGCUGAUUUUAGGGAUCUCUCCUUAACACCAAAAGUUUUCACAGGUCCCCAUGAAGAAGACUGUUGAUAUUACCGAAAAUGUCCUGAAUUCAGGAAUACUUUCAGGCAGGAAUACUGGAGUGGCUAGCUAUUCCCUUCUCCAGAGGAUCUUCCAGACCAAGAGAUUGGACCUGCGUCUCCUGUGUCUCCUGCAUUGGCUUAAGGACUUACUUCUGACAAAUAGAAUGUGAUGGAGCGCUAGUGUGUGACCUCUGAGGCUGGGUCAUAAAGAACUCUGCAUUUCCACCUUGCUGUCUUUUGGAUCGCCCAUGCUGGGGGAUGCCAGCUGCCCUAUCCUGGGGCCACCCAAACAGCCUGCCAAGAGGCCCACACGGGGAGGAUAUGAGACCUCUGCCAAGAGCCAGCACCAACUCGUCUGCCAUAGGCAUGCUGCUACUGCUGCUGCUAAGUCGCUUCAGUUGUGUCUGACUCUGUGCGACCCCAUAGACGGCAGCCUACCAGGCUCCCCCAUCCCUGGGAUUCUCCAGGCAAGAACACUGGAGUGGGUUGCCAUUUCCUUCUUCAGUGCAUGAAAGUGAAAAGUGAAAGUGAGGUAGCUCAGUCGUGUCUGACUCUUAGCGACCCCAUGGACUACAGCCUACCAGGCUCUUCCGUCCAUGGGAUUUUCCAGGCAAGAGCACUGGAGUGAGGUGCCAUUGCCUUCUCCAGCCAUGGGCGUGACCCACCUGGAAAAGGAAUCCUCCAGCCUCAGUCCAGCCAGCAAGUGGCUUCAGCCCUCCAAGCUUCCAGUCUUCCAGCUGAGGCCCCAAACAUCGUGGAGCAGAGACAAUUCAUGUCCUCAGUUCCUGACCCGCAGACCUGGGAGAUGAUAAGUUAUCAUUGUUGUUUCAAGCCACUAUGUUUUGAGGUAAUUUGUUAGAGCUCAUGCCGUGAUGGCCGAUGAACAUAGAGCAUUAAGAGAACACAGAGAAUGGGGCAUUAGCUCAGUGAGAGAGGUCAAAGAGGCUUUCUGAAGGAAAGGAAAUUUACUGGGUCUUGGAGGGUGCAUAAGAAUUGUCUAAGAUGAUUGGAAGAGUAUUCCAGGCAUGGGGGACAGGACAGGUAAAGGCCACUGAGGCUUUAAAGAGCAUGGAGUGUGGGAAUGAGCUGCAUAUAUAACUUACCCUUCCAAAUAGGGUCCUAGACAGAUGGACUUGAUACCAGCUCUGCUCUAGAAUAACUAUAUUUGUUACAUGUUUCUUAUUGGCAAAUAUACUUAGCAUUCAGUGGGGGGGGGGGGUCUGACUUUUUAAUCCAUUGACCUUCAUAAAAAGAAUUUCUGAAGUUCAAGAGUCUCAGAAUACACACAGUUUGAUAUGAUUUUUUUAUCUUCUUUUUUAAAAUUUAUUUUACUUUUUGGUUGCACCAUGGGGAAUAUGGGAUGUUAGUUCCCUGACUAGGGGUUGAACCUCUGCCCCUGCAUUGGCAACUUGGAGUCUUAACCAUUGAACUGCCAGGGAAGUUCUGACAUAAUUUUUUUUUUUAACCAUUGGAAUACUCCUUUUUCUCAAAAGUGGUUUCUGAACAUAGAUAGGCAAGAGAAACAUGUGGGAACUUAAAAAAAAAUCAGAUUUCUGGGCCUCAACCCAGAACUGCUAAAUCUUAUCUGAGAAGGGUUCAGGAUUUAAUCCAAACUUCUCACUUUACAGAUAAGAACAAAAGACACAAGGGACAGAGUUGAGAUUCGAAUGCUGGUUGUGAUUUUUUAAAAAAUCUGUUUAUUUAUGGCCAUACUGGGUCUUUGUUGCAGUGUGGGCUUUUCUCUAGUUGUGGCGAGUGGGGGCUGCUCUUCUGGUUGCGGUGUGCCGGCUUCUCGUUGCAGUGGCUCCGCUUGUUGCAGGGCACAGGCCCUAGGGCGUGUGGUCUGCAAUAGUUGGGGAACGUGGGCUCAGCAGUUUUGGCUCCCGAGCUCUGGAGCACUGGCUCAGUAGUUGUCGCACGCGGCUCGCUUGCUCCACAGCAUGUGGGAUCUUCCCGGGGACUUUUUUCAGGCAAGAUCACUGGAGCAGGUUUCCAUUUCCUCCUCCAGGGGAUAUUCCUGACCCAGGGAUCGAAUCUGUAUCUCCUGCGUUGGCCGGCAGCUCCUUUACCGCUGAGCCAGCGGAGAAGCCUGGUUGUGACCUUGCUGCUGUGGUCCUCUGCUGCCACCAGAGUUUUUUUCUUUCUCAGCAUCAUGGCCAAUCCCAGCUGUUUGAUGGUUAAAUAUUAUGUGAGCGUCAGAGGUUUAGCCCAUGAGGUAGAUCUUGAUCUUCACAUUCCACCUCUCCAUGGUCCAUGACAAAAAAAAAAAAAAGAAAUUAAUAUACUAUCGCAUUUUUAUGUCUCUUACGUUAAAAUUGUUUUUUCCCUGGUAAGCGGUUAGGACUCUGUGCUUUCACCCCAUGGGUUUGACCACUGGCGGGGGGACCAAGAUCCUACAUGCUGUGUGGCACAGGCCAAAAAAAAGAUAUUUUUUUGCCCUAGUUUUUGCUCUUCCUCUCACCCACAUACAUUUUAAAAAGUGAGGGAGUUUCCUGGUGGUCCAGUGGUUAAGACUCUGAGCUCUCACUGUGGCGGACCCAGGUUCAAUCCCUGAUCUGGGCACUAAGAUCCCACCAGCCUUGCAUCAUGGCCAAAAAAGAAAUUGAGGUGUAAUUCCUAUACCACAAAAUUCACCAUCUUGAAGUGUACAGUUCCGUGGUUCCUAGCAUAAUCACAUAAAUGGAUUCGUACAACAUGUAACCUUUGGGUGUCUGGUUUCUUUCACUUGGCACCAUGCUUUCAAGGUUCAUCCUUGUUGUAAGUGUCAGUAGUUCAUUUUUAUGGCUAAAUACCAUUUCACUAAAUCACGUUUUGUAUAUCCACUCGUCUGCUAAUGAACAUCUGAAUAGUUGAUACUUUUUAGCUAUUAUGAAUAAUGCUGCGAUGAACAUUCAUAUUAUAUUUGUUUUGGUGUGGACAUAUGUUUAUUUAUUUUUAUUUUUUAUUGGAUUGUGGGAACCUUGUUCCCCAACCAGGGAUCGAACCCUGGCCCUCCGAAGUGAAAGCACAGAGUCUUAACCGCUGAACCACCAGGGGAUUCCCUGGACAUGCAUCUAUAAUUCUCUUCAGCAUAUGCCUGGGAAUGGAAUUGCUAGGUCAUUUGGUAACUUAGUUGAACUUUUUGAGGAACUGUUACUGUUUUUCAUAAUCACGUAUAUUUUUACACUGAGGAAAUAACACUUCUUUUUUAAAAAAUUGAAAGUCACAUACCCACAAGCGGGAAAAUAAUCAGAAAUAAUAUCAGUCAGAAGGACCACAAUUUAGAGACUAAGUAUGAAGGUACAUUGACAUUUAUCUCUUCUCCUUCCUGAAACACCACUGAAAUGAUAGUUUAAGUUUUUCUUUUAAGAUAUAAACCCUCGUGGAUAAAGAGGAGGAAAAGGAGAAAAACGACAACAAAAUGUUUUGAAGUUGAAAAGCCGAUGGACCAUGGCAAGUGCCUCAUAGCAGACCAAAGACAGCUAAGACCUAAGCUAGCAGUGGGGGAUCUCAGUAGAAAGCUGGCUGGUGCCACAGAUCCCAGAAAGGCUCAGAUGUUAGAGAGACCAGGUAUCCCUGAAAAUGGUAGGCAGUGAAAUGGGGUUGAACAAAGAGAUCAGGCAACAGUUUAUGAAAAAUUUUGUACACCCAUGUUCAUAGCAGUGUUAUUCACAAGUAUUAGCAGUAUUAUUCCACCAAAAGGUGGAAGCAACCCAAAUAUCCAUUGGCAGAUAAUGCAUAAACAAAAUGUGGUACUUAUAUGCAAUGGAAUAUUUUCAGCCUUGAAAAGGAAGGAAAUUAUGACACCUGCUACAACAUGGACAUAUCUUGAGGGCAUUAUGUUAAGGGAAAUAUAGCAGCCACAAAAGGGCAGAUACUGUGUGAUUCCACUUCGCUGAGUUACUUCAGAGUCUCAAAUGGAGAUGGGAAGUAGGAUGGUGGUUGGCAGGGGCUGGGGGGAGGAGGAAUCGGGAGUUUAGCAGGGGCAGAGUGUGAGUUUUGCAAGAUGAAGGGUUCUGGAGAUGGGCUGCACAAUAGUGUGAAUGGAUCUGACACUAGUGAACUGUAUGCUGGUUAAGAUGAUGCAUUUUAUGUUAAGGGUAUUUUACCACAGUUAAAGUUGAUAAAGAAACAGAUUCUUAGUUCCCCUUCCUCAUCCUGAGCAAGAUGACUGUCCCUCCAGCAAUCCAGGCUGAAGAUGUGAUGCUGACUGUCUGGAGAGGUAUAGCAAGAGGAAGUCUGAGCCAGAGGGUGUAACACAGCUGAGGGUACGGGGUCUAACAGGGCAGGGGAGACCUCCAGGCGGCCCUCUCCCUUCAUUUGCAUUUUUUAGUGUUGGAAGCUAAGACUGUGACACCCACACCCUCUCUGAUGAUUCAUGGAGUCCUCUCUGGAUUCCAGGGCUUUCCUGGUGGCUCAGAUGGCUAAACAAAAAUUUGCCUGCAAUGCAGGAGACCUGAGUUCGCUUCCUGGAUCAGGAAGAUCCCCUGGGGAAGGGAAUGGCUACCCACUCUAAUAUUCUUAGUUGGAGAAUUUCAUGGACAGAGGAGCCUCCAACAGGACUUGAGUGACUAACAUUUUCACUUUCUCUUUUUUCUGGAUUAACUGACUGGCUUAAGAGAAAGAUCUUUGGAUACUGACAUAUAAACAGAGACCUAAAAGGUCAUACCAACCUUUGACCAUAAGAGACAGGAUCCAAAGCAACAAAGAGAAAAAAAAAAAAAGACUUUGGGAGGGGUAGAAGCAGAAGAAAAUCUUAGAGAAAAAAAUUAAUAUUGUUAGUUGUUGGAUAAAUAAGAUUGAUAUUUCAUCCUUGAAAUAAAUACAAAAGACCAUGUUAAAAGAACAUUCAGAGAACCCCCUUUUUGGGGCUCUUAAAAAUUAAAACUAUGGUAUUGAAAAUGAAAAAUUCAGCAGAAAUGUUGGAAAGUAGGUGGAAAAAAAUCUGUAGAACAAAUGACAAGCGAAGUGAAAGUUGGUCAGUCUUGUCCGACCCUUUGCAACCCCAUGGACUAUACAGUCCAUGGAAUUCUCCAGGCCAGAAAACGAGUGGGUAGCCUUUCCCUUCUCCAGGGGAUCUUCCCAACCCAGGGAUGGAACCCAGGUCUCCCACAUUGCAGGUGGAUUCUUUACCAGCUGACCCACAAUGGAAGCCCUAUGAAUAAGAAAGACACACACACACAAUAAGUAAAUUCAAGGAUCCAUUUAGGAGACUGAUCCCACAUCAAAAAAUUAGACAGGAAGAAAGUAUGAAAAUAAGCCUCUAGAAAAAUUGACAGGAUUGAAGAAACUAAAUUUCUAAGUAGGAACACCCCAAGUGUGAUUUGAUACACUGAAUUAAAAUUAACUCAUAUGAAAACAGUCUUGAAAUUUUAGAAUGCAGAAGCCAAAGCUAAGAUCCUGCAAGUUUAUAGAAAGAAAAGGAAAUCAGAAUGACUUCAGACUUUUCAACAACAUUACUGAAAACUAGAAGACAAUAAUAAAGCAAUAAUUUCAAAAUCUGGAGGAGAUAUGCUUACAUCAAAUCAUUAUGUUGUACACCUAAAACUAAUGCAGUGUUGUAUGUCAGUUACAACACAAUUUUUAAAAAAGCAGUCUUUCCAUGGAAAAGCAUGAUAUUAAUACACCUUACUGAAAAGCUAUUAUUUAAAAAGAUUCAUUGUGAAAUUUUUUUAAAUUCUGAGAAAAGAUGGUUGCAAAUCUAGAAUUCUGUACUUUGCCAAACCAUCAGUCCUGUUAGGGUAAAAGACAUUUUCAGGUAUGCAGAGUAGCUGAAGUGUGUGUGCUCAGUCAUGUCUGAUUCUGUGACCCCAUGGACUAUAAACCACCAGGCUCUUCUGUCCAUGGAAUUCUCCAGGCAAGUAUACUGGAGUGGGUUGUCAUUUCUUUCUCCAGGGGAUCUUCCCAACUCAGGGAUCGAACCCGAGUCUCUUGCACCUCCUACAUUGGCAGGCAGAUUCUUUACCACUGUGCCACCUGGGAAGCCCUCAGGUAUGUGAAGCUGCAGAAAAAUUAUCUUCCUGGCACACUUUCCCAGGAAGCUGUUGGAGGAGAGGCUUCAAUGAAAGGAGGAAAUAAUCCAAGGGAGAGGAAACACAGGACUCAGGGACAGGAGGAGGGGAGAGAGGUGAAAGGUGUCCCAGAAGAAGCUGUGUCCCAGCCUACAGCAAGCCACCUAGAGUGUGCCUGACAGGCUACAGGACAGAUGGCCCCAAUUCGAUUAGGCUUAUCCAUUACCUUUGGGGAUUGAUUUUGUGAUUGGUAGCUGGAAAACUAGACAAACAAAACCUUGUUAAUUUGACAAUUAACUCCAAGAAAGAAAAUAUAAUCAUAGUCUUAUCAAUGGGCUCAGCUGUAAAUAAUAUUGGUAUAAUAAUAAUGUUAUAAACGGGGCUUCCCAAGUGGCUCAGACAGUAAAGAAUCAGCCUACAAUGCAGGAAACCCAGGCUUGAUCCCUGAAUCAGGAAGAUCCCCUGGAGAAGGGAAUGGCAACCCCCUCCAGUAUUCUUGGCUGGAGCCUGAGCGGCUAUAGUCCAUGGGUCACGAAGAGUCAGACAUAACUGAGCCAUUAUCACAAUGUUAUAAACACUGAAUUCUGCUCUGACCAAACAUUAGGAUAUAAUUUUUUUAGGGAGAAUAGGGGAAGGGGAAGAGGUGUCUGUGUGUGUGUGGAUUGAGGCUUAAGAGUUAAAUUCUCAUUUUCUGUUUUUAGUACCGAAAACUGAACAAAAUCAAGAAAAAGAGGCACAAGCAUUCUGUUUAGGAACAGGAGGUACAUACCAGAAGGGUCGACCAAAAGACUUGAAAAUGACUGAAUCUGAGAUGCGGGUCGAGAGUGUAAUGAGGUGGGAUUGCUUUUCUUUCAGGAUUAGUCUUCAAGUAUUUGAUUUUUAAAAUGAUGUCUAUGUCUAACUUGAUAAAAAUAAAACAUUAAUUAAAUCGAAGGCCAGGAGCAGGAGCAAUGAAAGAGAUUUAGAUGAGGCGAUAGAACAUUUUGUCCUUUUGCAUUUUAAAUUAGGGACAGGGCAUGUCAAACUAUAUAAUGUGUGCAACUCAUAAUAAAAGAUACAGUUAGGAUUUAUAUGGGACCAAUUACAGAGCAAAGACGAGGAGAGACAGAUGAUGAGAGAGAGGGAGUGAUAGAGAAAGAAAGAAUGGGAGGGAGAGAGAGAAAUGGAUGCUAAGACACGGGAAGACAGAGACACAGAAAAAUACACCCGGAUGCACAUACGCAAGCCAGACAUGUGAAGCAAUCCAACAGGAAGAAACCCACAAGAGCACAGCUGGAGUGUACACCCCAAUGCGCACACACCCAAGUCAGGACAGAAACCCAAGUCUUUGUAGUAAUAUCUCAAAUUUAGAUUAAAUGGCACAGAAUUGGAUUAUUCAGAGGAGGCAAUGACAACCCACUCCAGUAUUCUUGCCUGGAAAAAUCCAAUGGACAGAGGAGCCUGGUGGGCUGCCGUCUAUGGAGUCGCACAGAGUUGGACACUAAUGAAGCAACUUAGCAGCAGCAAUUGGAUUAUUACCACUAAACAUCACUUCCACCACCACCAUGAAACUGACCCCUCUGCUUUCAAGACUCAGUUGUAGACUCUUCCUCUUAGGAGCCUUCCUGGCCGCACCAUUCUGGAGCCAUUGUUCUGUCUCCUCAAUUUCCAGAGAAAGAAAGUCUUGUUUUACCACUUAUUUGGGGGGAAAAUUACAAAUGGCCUGGUGACAUUCUAACAUAGCUGUGUUGAGCGGUUGCCGUUUCACUUUUGAGGCCGUUUGGCUUUCCAGUGUUUAUGUGUUGCUCUUCAACUUGGUUAUAAGCAUGUGGUGGACGGAGGAACCAAACCUUCCUCACUGAAGAAACCGCCACCAGCCCAGCUUCCAGGGAGGCUUUGGAUCCGAAUUCCUUCUCUGCCAUUUACUUGCUGUGUGACUUUGGGCAGGUUGCUUAUCUCUGUGUCAGGGUCCUAGUCUGUAAAAUAGAGCUGGUAUAUGGUUGAAUUAUAUGAAAUUCCCAAGAUUGCACCAUAUUUGACCAACAAAAAUGGCAGUUGUACAUGGUUCAGCCCAAUAAAACCACAGCUGCUUAGGUGGCAUGCAGAUUAAACACGGUGCCUGUUGAAUUGCAAGCAAGCACCAUCCUGCUGCAAGAAAAGUGGCCCUGGUAGUCAGCCACUCAGACCUUGGGGAGCAAAAGCAACAGCCUUGGAAUGCAGAGCAACCAAGUAGAAAGAGCAGGAGCCUGGCCCCUGAUACCCUGGAGCCUCCAGAUAUGCUCUGAAUUGCUUAUGUCUAGAUGCUUGUAUGAGCAAGAGAUAGCCUCCCAUUUCAGUAAAACCGCUGUUUGGGUUUGUUUUGAAGUAGUUAAAAAGACAUCCUUAUGAAUAAAGGGCACAUGUGAGAGAGAAAGGAUGCAGGUAUUUCUGCCUCCUCAGACUGGACGUGAUGCCGUGGAGCCGGGCAGCCUUAAACAUGGCAGGUGGUUUGCGGGGAGGAUAACAAGUGCAGGAAACUGACCUGUUCUUCUGGAGCCAGGAGAGAGGUUGGAAAUACUAGUCUGGGAACCACAUGUGCGUAUAUAAUUAUUAUAACCUUCAAAAAGGUAUGAUCAUUCUGGAAGGACACAUAAGUGCAGAAAAAAAAGGAGUCUAAUUAGCCAAGUAUAUCAUGAAACGCUGAGAAUGCAAAUGAUCAUGAUAAUUAUGACCACUGCUGAAGCACUUCGCUAUGAGCCAGGCAGGCUCUGAGCUAAAUGCUUCAAGUGUGUCAGUUUAAUCCUCAGGAUAACCCCUUUGGUGGAUACCAUUAAUCCAAUUUUACUGAAGAGAAAACAGGCUUAGUGGAUGACAGAGCUGGGAUUUGAACCGAGGUCUGCUGCUGCUAAGUCGCUUCAGUCGUGUCCGACUCUGUGCGGCCCCCUAGACGGCAGCCCGCCAGGCUCCCCCGUCCCUGGGAUUCUCUAGGCAAGAACACUGGAGUGGGUUGCCAUUUCCUUCUCCAGUGCAUGAAAGUGAAAAGUGAAAGUGAAGUCGCUCAGUCGUGUCCGACUCUUAGCGACCCCGUGGACUGUAGCCUACCAGGCUUCUGUCCAUGGGAUUUUCCAGGCAAGAGUACUAGAGUGGGGUGCCAUUGCCUUCUCCGAACCGAGGUCUGAUCGACUUCAAAGUCUAUGUUUCUAAUCUUUACUCCAUAAGUCUAAGCAUAGCUUUUGGGGGUUUUCUAAACUUAUUUUUAAUUGGAGGAUAGUUUCUUUACAAUGUUGUGCUGUUUUCUGCUGUACAACAACAUGAAUCAGCUAUGAGAAUACAUAUAUCUCCUCCCUUUCGUGUCUCCCUCCCACCCCCAUCCCCUAGUGUUGUAUUUUUUUUUCCCUUAACUUUUGGGUGCAGGCAUAUAGAGUUAUCCAAACUCGUCAAACUGUAGACUUGAAAUGGGUAUGUUUUGUUAUAUGUAAAUUACACGUCCAUGAAACUGGUCUAAGGGCUUCCCUGGUGGCUCAGUAGUAAGGAAUCCACCUGCCAACGCAGGAGACACAGGUUCAGUCCCUGGUCCGGGAAGGUCCCCUGCAGAAGGAAAUGGCAACCCACUCCAGUACUCUUGCCUGGAAAACCCCAUGGACACAGGAGCCUGGUGGGCUACAGUCCAUGGGGUUGCAAAAAGUUGGACACAACUUAAUGACCAAACAACAACAACAACAAGAUCUAAAAAAAUAGAAAUGUGAUUCCAGAGCUUUCAUUGUGCAUGCCUCAGGGGUCAAUAACUAGUUGUUAACAGGACAGAAUAUAAACUUAAAAUGUUAGCAAGUGAUAAAGGUUAGAACUGAAGGAAGAUUUUUGUAAUUCCCCACCCCCACCCAGUCUGAGUUAGAAAUAAGAAGUCUUACCGUCACACUCAAAAAAAUACAAAAACUCGUGGAUGAAAUAAAGCUAUUAGGUUAUACUAUAGGAGUCUCAAGGUACCCUAUUCUGAAGGUUAAGAUACUCUAAGUCAGGGCUGCUCAACUGCAAGACUCAAGACUUUGGAGUGCUGUUGACAUUUUAGACCAGAGGCUUCUUGCAGACCAGGUGCUGGUGGGGGAGCUGUCCUGUGCCUUGUAGAAUCCUUAGGCAGCCACUCUGGCCUCUACCUGCCAGAUGCCGGGAGCAAUUCCAUUCUCAGUUGUGACAACCAGUCACAGAUACCCCUCGGGGGGCUAAAUCGCCCAGAUGAGAGCCACGUGGUUAGCACAUCACUUGGUGGUGGAGUCUCCCCGUGGGCUACAACAUCGCGUCCACUGGGCCCAUCGCAGGUGCGGGCAUCCCUAGGUCACUUUCUGGCCCCCUGAGCUCUUUGCACUUGCUCUCCUGGGAGGGAUAGAGUUUCCUCCUUGGCAGGACGCAUCUACUGCUGUGCCCUAUCCAUCUUCUCCCUGCACUGAUCUGGUGGUUAGAUACCGUUUCUUCAUCUGCACCUCCAGGAGCGACGGCUGUCCCCUCUGCUGUCCCCUUGAACCCUCCUCCACUGCACACACUGCAGAGCCCAAGUGGUCGCCCCUUCCACGGUGUAAAGAGCCAUGGUCUGCUGGUGGAUGGGGCAAUGCCCCUUCUCCCAAAGAGCCCCCUGUCCCCCACUUCAGAAUGGCAACGGAAGGCAAAUCUUCCAUCCAUCACUGGAAGGGUGGGCUUGGGGCAGGCCUCUUUCGAAGCAGUGAUUGAGGGCGGCAAGGUUGGGUGGGCAGCCUUCUACUCUUUUCUUGGGAAGGAGGUAGAUAAUCCCCACACUGACCCCAGAAGGGAAUUCUAGAAGUUGACUUUCCUUCCCACUCCGGGUGUAUGGCUUUGCCUCAGUACAAAGUUCCUGCUAGGAGCUGUCUUGUUUCUCUUGUCUUGGGACCUGCUAGGUGGGAAAAGUGAAAGUCGCUCAGACGUGUCUGACUCUUUGCAACCCCAUGGACUAUACAGUCUAUGGAAUUCUUUAGGCCAGAAUACUGGAGUGAAUAGCCUUUCCCUUCUCCAGGGGAUCUUCCCAACCCAGGGAUCAAACCCAAGUCUUCCACAUUGCAGGUGGAUUCUUUACCAACUGAGCUAGGUGGAAAAAGAAGAAAAACGAAGGAGAGGAGAACUUUUCCCCACAGACCUUACCACUCACCCAGCCCCCACCUCAAAAUAAAGCAGGGCGGCAUCCUCCAGUUUUCAGAUUUCCUUAUGUCUAAGAAGACCAACCAUGACAAUUUUAUGACCCAAAUGCAAGGAUGCAUUUUUUGGUUAU